GUCCAGUUGACGAGUCCUAAAUAGAACGAGACACGCGUCCUGGAU
rfam:Schistosoma haematobium scaffold1337_4, whole genome shotgun sequence.